GACGAACGCUGGCGGCGUGCUUAACACAUGCAAGUCGAACGGAAAGGCCCCUUUGGGGGUACUCGAGUGGCGCACGGGGGAGUAACACGUGAGUAACCUGCCCUUGACUUCGGGAUAACUUCAGGAAACUGGGGCUAAUACCGGAUAGGAAUCCUUGCUGCAUGGUGGGGGUUGGAAAGCUUCGGCGGUUGUGGAUGGACUCGCGGCGUAUCAGCUUGUUGGUGGGGUAGUGGCUUACCAAGGCGUUGACGGGUAGCCGGCCUGAGAGGGCGACCGGCCAUAUUGGGACUGAGGGACGGCCCAGACUCCUACGGGAGGCAGAAGUGGGGAAGACUGCACAAUGGGCGGAGGCCGGAUGCAGCAACGCCGCGUGCGGGAUGACGGCUUUCGGGUUGUAGACCGCUUUCAGCAGGGGCGAAGCUUGUGGUGACGGUACCUGCAGAAGAAGCACCGGCUAACUACGUG
rnacentral:rRNA from 1 species